rnacentral:tRNA from 4 species
GCUCCUUUAGUUUCAAUAUGGUAGAACGGCUAUCUUCGGAUGGACGGCUUGGGUUCGAAUCCCGAAAGGAGCC